AAAACCCAAGUAGAUAGUCGAUACUCACAAAGAACACACUUAAUUGACAUCAUCACACGGAGAUCAUUGGUCGUCUCAUAGCACUUCAGUUGGUGAAUAUUGGUGGAUAAAUAAUGGCAUCAUUACAACUACAGGUCAUAAAUAUUAAAGGAAAGAAAUAUUUCAAGACCUGUCAAUCAAGCGACAAACUGUCAUCGUUAUUCCAAAAAUUAUCCGAACAUGAGGGAUUAUCGGGACAAGAUAUCCUCUUGGUAUAUAAUGGAAAGCAAAUCAGCUGCCCUGACACAGGAACCGAUGAGAAAACUUUGGGUGACCUUAACUUCUUCGACAGGGCCACUUUGCAGAUAGUAGCACGUUUUCCAGGAGGAAGUGGGGUGGAAUUGACGCUAUUGAAAUAAACAAACAAAACAAAAACGAAGCGGUUUAUAAAAAGAACACUCGGGAAUUUUGAAUAGUUCCAUAAAAGAAGAUAUUUUCAAGUUAAUCCUUAUAAUUGAAUUUACUUUCCUCAAUAUGGAAAUCCACUUUUAUUGAUGAACUAUUUUCUCUGGGAAAUUAUUACGCCACUGUAUCAGCCAAUCAAAUGCAACGUUACAAACAGCGACGUCACUUUUUAUGGGCUGAUAACAUGAAUUUUCAGGUAAAUGAAACUGCUUACUUAUCUGUAUCGAUACAACUAAAUGUCGAAAGCAUCGAAGUGAUUGAUUAACUGUGAACGUUCUAUGAUAUUUUGAUAUUGAUUACAGCGGAAAUACAUAUGUAUCAG